rnacentral:lncRNA from 1 species
AGGGAAUCUGUGUACAUCUUGAACUUGAAACACUAUCUCCACAUCUGCUUCUGGAGAUGCAACUGGUGACGAUGAGAUGUAAAAUGCACCCAGGGUCACUGUCUUGAAUUGUCACGCUGACCACAUGCUUUUUAGACACCUGAACAAGACACCGAGAGAGGGCCCACCUAAAGAUGGAUAUUCUGCUGAUCUUAAAGGUGUUCAACAACAGUUUUGGGCUGUUCAGCUCUACCAAGAAGUGUCAGAACAGAAAAAAAGACAAGCCUGACCACAGCUGAAGUAGCAAGUAUGUAAACUUGAGGCUACUCAUCACAGCGCAGAGUGAUUUCACCUAAGCCACAACAGCAGCUUGUUGCCACAAUACAAACAAGAGCUGCCACUUACCGACCACAGCUAUGCGCCAGGUAAGUCAAAUGAGGAAGAACACCUUCAGUGUGGGAGAGAAACAGGUCUUUAAUGUCUCCUUAGUCCAGUGGCUCUUAAAGUAUAUUAAGGUAGCAUCAACAUCAACAUUACCUGGGAACAUGUUGGAGAUGUGAAUUCUUGGGUUCCACUUUAGACAGUGAAACAGAAAUUCCGGGGUGAGGCACUCUAAGUUUUAACAAACACUUCAGGGGCUGGGUGCAGUGGCUAACGCCUAUAAUCCCAGCACUUUGGGUGGCUGAGGUGGGCAAAUCCCAAGGCCAGGAGUUUGAGACUAGCCUGGCCAACAUGGUGAGACCCCGUCUCUACUAAAGAUACAAAAAGUUAGCUGGGCAUAGUAGCGGGCACCUAUAAUCCCAGCUUCUCGGGAGGCUGAGGCUGGAGAAUCGCUUGAACCAGGGAGGCAGACGUUCCAGUGAGCUGAGAUUGAGCCACUGCACUUCAGCCUGGUGACAGAGUAAGAUACCAUUUCAAAAAUUAAAAAAAAAAAAAAAAAGAAAAGAAAAAAGAAAACCCUCCAGAUGAUUCCAUGCAUACUAAAGUUUGAGAUUACUGUGUUGGAAGUUAAAGGUUUUUUUUUUGACUGAAAAUGCUCAUGCAGCUAUGAGAUUAGCACAGUUUACAAAGGUGGACUAGGGUGCUGGACAGCGACAUUAGGAAGCAAUCUCUUAGGUGGCCAACUUCAUCUAUAACUCUGGGAAGGGGCUGUGAAAUCCUGGGAGGACACAGGUAUUGUGUUCAAGGUAUAGCUUAACCGAAUAAUGAAUCAUUUCCCAAUCUGCAGAGAUGGUUUCACUCUGACACUGUGGGAGGGUAACAGGAUCAGGAGUGCCACACGGGCCUGAGAUACCACAAGUUCUUGACUCAAUCAAUGAGGAAAACAGCAUAUUAUGUGGAGAAAAAUGUGAAAGAAUAAAAAAGGCAACAGGGCACUUAAUUUUGCACUUGAAUUCAUUUCUU